GUGUGUUCUUCCGAUCUUUUUAAAUAAGCAGGUACCUUUUCUCAGAAUAUACUCUAUUAAAUAAAGUCAGUAGAUGUGUUCCUAGUUUCCCCAAUUUGGAGAUACUGCUCAUAUUGAUUUUGUAAGGCACACAUUUUUCAUAAAACUUUAAAUUUACUUGUCCUUUUCCUUCUUUCUUUCUUUCUUUCUUUCUUUCUUUCUUUCUUUCUUUCUUUCUUUCUUUCUUUCUUUCUUUCUUUCUUUCUUUCUUCUUUUUUUAAACUCAAGGUUUCGGCUUAAACAAACAAACCUGCUCACCAUUUGAUUCAGACAAGAUAACCCCAAGGGAAGGGUGGAUUCUGGAGUUAGCAAAGUGCUCCUUCAGCAUUUCCCUCAAUGAAUUCAGGGGUAUUCUAUGGCAAGGGUCCAAACAACACACGUGUGAUUAACCUUUGUGCUUCUCGGUUGAUAACCGCCUGGUCAUGGCGAUAACUAGGAUUAAAGGAGACAGAUGUGCCUCUAAACUCUAAUCUUGGUCUGGUAAAUGUUUUCUGGGCAUCAAAUCGUAUUCUUCAAAAAAAAAAAAAAAAAAAGUUGGUCAGGUAUUUUAACUCUCUCUUUAUUUUCUUUAACACUUUUUGCCUUUUCAGUCGCUCUUACGUAAUAUCUAUCGAGUACCUGCCCUGCAGUUAACAGUGGGCAGUGCCACGGUGUGCCAAGGAAGGAGGUGAGAGAGCUUACAGUUUUGCUGGGGAUUCACGAUAGACGCACGUAAGAAACAGCGAACGGAAUAGUGUUGCAUCCACCUGUGUGUGUUUGUCUCAUUGCGUGUAAGCACACGGUAACGUAAGUAAUACAAGCGUAAACAGACGCGGAUGCUAAGCGGUGUGGCACAAAGUUAGAAAACAGGCAAGAUGCAGUUAGGAAAUUAUGUGAAGGGACAGCAAGCCAAGGCAGUCGGCAGGUGUGUGAGUCAGGUUGUUGGGCAAGGCUGUGCUGCAGAAACCUCUGGAGGUGAACGUCUCUCUUUCUUUUGACAUAAUUAUGGAUUCACGGGAAGUAGCAAGAAUAGCACAGAGAGGCCUCGUGCGCCCUUCGCCGAGCUUCCCCUAAUGGUAACAGCUUACACGACUGUCUGUCGUACAAUAUCAAAACCGGCAUAUCCACAUUGGGACAAUCUACAGAUCCUUUCCGGUUUUCUGUGCGCAUACUCCUGUGGAACUGAGCUUUGAUAAAUGAAUUUCAAAAGACAAGAGGAAUGAGGAAAAACUGGAAGAACCAAAACCUCACAGGGCAGUUCCUUUGCAGAGAUGUCCUCGUUCUCUUUCCUUCCAGUGUGUAGGUAUGCCACAUGCCCCUUUGAACACUCACCGCCUGCCCCCCUUACCUCGCCCGCCCCAGCGGGCUUGCUGCUUCCUCUUCACAAAUGCUCCCCGAGCACUUCCUGCUGUGCUCUUACCCGCGGGUCCAAACGCAGGCAGUCUCCCUCCUAGAAGUCAUCCGCUGUGUGAGCUGGUUUGUAAAGAAGCGGUCUGGAACCCAGAACCGAUUUUCCCAUGGAGACCGAGGUACAGAGGUGAUGGGUUCCUGGCCUCUCUCCUGACCUGUGUCACUCAGGAUGGAAAUAGUCCUUAUUCGGAGCAGUGUCUGUCAUUGCUGCACAUGGUGGUUGUGUGCUCCCUGGGAGUCAGGGAGAGGGAUUCUCUGCUGUAUCAGACGGAUUCUUCUCUUAACAGGUCCCGUUUUGUAGCCACACUCUGCCACUGUGUGCAGUGGGUGAUGUUAAAGGGAACGCCCCUCCCCCCUUUUUAAAAUGUUUAUUCAUUUAUUUUGAGAGAGAGAGAGAGAGUGAGCCCUAGUUGGGG